rnacentral:tRNA from 1 species
AUUUAUUUAGUAUAAAAAAGUACAAUUGAUUUCCAAUCAAAUAGUCUAAUAUUUUAGAAUAAAUA